GAACACUAUUCCUGUUCUUUUCUAUCUUAUAUAUAUCACUGGAGCAUCAUCUGGAAUAUACCACGUGGAUUAUUGGUAUUGGAUAUACCAGAUAUUAUUGGAUAUACCAGAGGAAAUAAGGACCAUCCUAACAUCCACAGAUGGGGAUUGGACCAUGCAUACAUUGUGAUCUGGAGGUGAUCUUGAGGUCCAGAAAAGUGUGAGUGCAAUAUAUUUUUUCCUUAUAUUCUGCAGUUAUAGACAUACUACACUAUAUAUUAGCAUUCCUGUCU